rnacentral:rRNA from 1 species
UACGGAGGGUGCAAGCAUUGAUCGGAAUUACUGGGCGUAAAGGGCGCGUAGGCGGCUUAGAAAGUCGGAUGUGAAAUUCCGGGGCUCAACCCCGGAGCUGCAUUUGAAACUCCUGAGCUAGAGUUCAGUUAGGGUAAACGGAAUUCCACGUGUAGCGGUGAAAUGCGUAGAUAUGUGGAAGAACACCGGUGGUGAAGACGGUUUACUGGGCUGAGACUGACGCUGAGGCGAGCGAAAGCAUGGGGAGCAAACAGG